rnacentral:rRNA from 1 species
GACGACGGGUAGCCGGCCUGAGAGGGCGACCGGCCACACUGGGACUGAGACACGGCCCAGACUCCUACGGGAGGCAGCAGUGGGGAAUAUUGCACAAUGGGGGAAACCCUGAUGCAGCGACGCAGCGUGCGGGAUGACGGCCUUCGGGUUGUAAACCGCUUUCAGCAGGGAAGAAGCGAAAGUGACGGUACCUGCAGAAGAAGUACCGGCUAACUACGUGCCAGCAGCCGCGGUAAUACGUAGGGUACGAGCGUUGUCCGGAAUUAUUGGGCGUAAAGAGCUCGUAGGUGGUUGGUCACGUCUGCUGUGGAAACGCAACGCUUAACGUUGCGCGUGCAGUGGGUACGGGCUGACUAGAGUGCAGUAGGGGAGUCUGGAAUUCCUGGUGUAGCGGUGAAAUGCGCAGAUAUCAGGAGGAACACCGGUGGCGAAGGCGGGACUCUGGGCUGUAACUGACACUGAGGAGCGAAAGCAUGGGGAGCGAACAGGAUUAGAUACCCUGGUAGUCCAUGCCGUAAACGUUGGGCACUAGGUGUGGGGGACAUUCCACGUUCUCCGCGCCGUAGCUAACGCAUUAAGUGCCCCGCUGGGGAAGUACGGA